GACGAACGCUGGCGGCGUGCCUAACACAUGCAAGUCGAGCGGGGUCCAACCAGUGGCAACACUGGGGAAGACCUAGCGGCGAACGGGUGAGUAACACGUGAGAAACUUGCCCCGGAGUUCGGGAUAACCCGAGGAAACUCGAGCUAAUACCGAAUGCCCUCUUCUGGUCGCAUGGCCAGACGAGGAAAGAUUCAUCGCUCCGGGAGAGUCUCGCGGCCUAUCAGCUAGUUGGUGGGGUAACGGCCCACCAAGGCAUCGACGGGUAGCUGGUCUGAGAGGACGAUCAGCCACACUGGGACUGAGACACGGCCCAGACUCCUACGGGAGGCAGCAGUGGGGAAUCUUGCGCAAUGGGCGAAAGCCUGACGCAGCAACGCCGCGUGCGGGAUGAAGGCCUUCGGGUUGUAAACCGCUUUCAGCAGGGACGAAAUUGACGGUACCUGCAGAAGAAGCCCCGGCCAACUACGUGCCAGCAGCCGCCGUAAAAC
rnacentral:rRNA from 1 species